rnacentral:lncRNA from 1 species
CAAAUUUUGUGGAUUCUCCCAACAUCAUAUGCUCAUAGCAUUGACCCGCUACCAAGUUUAACGUUUGGUCAAUAGAAUCGAAAAAUGGCACAUUUCACUGAAUCUGAAAGGUAUGGUAUGAACUAUGAAGUACUGCAUUAGGAAUUACAAUAGUCUAACUACUUCCCCAUAACCCUCCCUAACCUCCCCAAAACUCAAAAGCUGAAUCUUUUCCAUGGAACUGGAAACUCCCAGAUCCAAUGCAGUUAACUACUAUCUGAAAUUUUUUCCCAAUAUAAUUCAAAAUGUUGCGAACCUCUAGAGUCAGAGAAUCACAAAUUCUUAAGUACUGGUAUGAACUCGUCCAAACGGAACUAAACAGAAUUGAUGAUUCAUACAGCCGACCCCAACUAGUUUGGAAUUGAGGCAUAGUUUGUUGCAAUGAACAGUAGCUAAAGCACAAUUUCCCACACACCACAAUCCUUAGCACACACAAAGCUCAGAUUCUUAACUCACAACGUGUAAUGAUAUUGUUAACCAACUCAACAUAAGUAACUUCCCUGCAAACAAGAAUAUAUGUUGUUUCAUUAAUCUUUGAAUGCCAAGUCUAACUCUCCACCCAUUCCCCAAGAAAUGUUUUUUUUAUAAGGUCCUCCAUGCCUAUAUAGUUGUCAGAAUCAUUAAUCCAACUAAAAGAACCAAAGGUUAGUUAAUUAACACUAAUCAACUUAGGGUUAAUUACCAAUCUACCUUCUUGAUAUGCUAAUGAACUAAGGUCAAGAACUCCAAAAAGCAAAUUGAUUUGCUUAGUUGAACUUCCACAACAAAUUAGAGCACCUAGAAACUCAGUAUACCUAAAUUUGCUUAGAACCAUACUUCAUGAGUAAUUUUCCAUUAAAUACAGUAAGCUAAAGCAAAAUCUUUCCCAUACAUGAUAUACCAUAAUGCUUAACAAACCCAAAAAACAAAAAUCAUUGUUUUUUUCAAUUAAUAGCAACCAAUUAGCAAAGUCCAAAUUUCACAAGAAAAUAGAGAACUUUGAAAACUCAAACACAGACCUGAAUUGCCUUAGGACCAUACUUAAACAUUACACCGCGGAACUGCUUUUUCCCAGUAAUAGGACCAGCACCGGAGACACUGUCAGCACCGCCGGCUGCGGCGGCCGGAUUUUUAUUAGACAUCUUGACACUAGCGGAACGGCCACGAACUAUGCCGGAAAACCAAGAAGACGAUGAAGAAGAUGAAAAAGAAGCAGAAGUUGACAGAUCCAUUGAUUAAGCAAAAGGGUCUGGUUUCAACAAAAAUAAUUUCAUUUUUAGAUGUUUGGAUUUGGUAAAAAAGUCUCCAUUGAUCGAAGGUUUUAAGAUGAUAUAAGAACAGGCAGAACUGACACUACUGAGAUAGUUUUGAAAUUAUUAAUUAAAAAUGGAAAAAUGUUUAAUUAUUAGUACAUGCUUUAUUAAGCAAAAAUGAA